UACAGAGGGUGCGAGCGUUAAUCGGAAUUACUGGGCGUAAAGCGCGCGUAGGCGGUUUUGUAAGUCGGGUGUGAAAUCCCCAGGCUCAACCUGGGAACUGCAUUCGAGACUGCAUAGCUAGAGUAUGGGAGAGGGAAGUGGAAUUUCAGGUGUAGCGGUGAAAUGCGUAGAUAUCUGAAGGAACAUCAGUGGCGAAAGCGACUUCCUGGACCAAUACUGACGCUCAUGUGCGAAAGCGUGGGGAGCAAACGGG
rnacentral:rRNA from 1 species